GGGUUGUGAGGUUAAGCGACUAAGCGUACACGGUGGAUGCCCUGGCAGUCAGAGGCGAUGAAGGACGUGCUAAUCUGCGAAAAGCGUCGGUAAGGUGAUAUGAACCGUUAUAACCGGCGAUGUCCGAAUGGGGAAACCCAGUGCAAUUCGUUGCACUAUCGUUAACUGAAUACAUAGGUUAACGAGGCGAACCGGGGGAACUGAAACAUCUAAGUACCCCGAGGAAAAGAAAUCAACCGAGAUUCCCCCAGUAGCGGCGAGCGAACGGGGAGCAGCCCAGAGUCUGAAUCAGCUUGUGUGUUAGUGGAACGGUCUGGAAAGUCCGACGGUACAGGGUGAUAGUCCCGUACACCAAAAUGCACAGGCUGUGAACUCGAAGAGUAGGGCGGGACACGUGGUAUCCUGUCUGAAUAUGGGGGGACCAUCCUCCAAGGCUAAAUACUCCUGACUGACCGAUAGUGAACCAGUACCGUGAGGGAAAGGCGAAAAGAACCCCGGCGAGGGGAGUGAAAAAGAACCUGAAACCGUGUACGUACAAGCAGUGGGAGCACCUUCGGGUGUGACUGCGUACCUUUUGUAUAAUGGGUCAGCGACUUAUAUUCUGUAGCAAGGUUAACCGUAUAGGGGAGCCGCAGGGAAACCGAGUCUUAACUGGGCGUUAAGUUGCAGGGUAUAGACCCGAAACCCGGUGAUCUAGCCAUGGGCAGGUUGAAGGUUGGGUAACACUAACUGGAGGACCGAACCGACUAAUGUUGAAAAAUUAGCGGAUGACUUGUGGCUGGGGGUGAAAGGCCAAUCAAACCGGGAGAUAGCUGGUUCUCCCCGAAAGCUAUUUAGGUAGCGCCUCGUGAACUCAUCUUCGGGGGUAGAGCACUGUUUCGGCUAGGGGGUCAUCCCGACUUACCAACCCGAUGCAAACUACGAAUACCGAAGAAUGUUAUCACGGGAGACACACGGCGGGUGCUAACGUCCGUCGUGAAGAG
rnacentral:rRNA from 1 species